UGUUUCGGCAAGGGGGUCAUCCCGACUUACCAACCCGAUGCAAACUGCGAAUACCGGAGAAUGUUAUCACGGGAGACACACGGCGGGUGCUAACGUCCGUCGUGAAGAGGGAAACAACCCAGACCGCCAGCUAAGGUCCCAAAGUCAUGGUUAAGUGGGAAACGAUGUGGGAAGGCCCAGACAGCCAGGAUGUUGGCUUAGAAGCAGCCAUCAUUUAAAGAAAGCGUAAUAGCUCACUGGUCGAGUCGGCCUGCGCGGAAGAUGUAACGGGGCUAAACCAUGCACCGAAGCUGCGGCAGCGACACUAUGUGUUGUUGGGUAGGGGAGCGUUCUGUAAGCCUGUGAAGGUGUACUGUGAGGUAUGCUGGAGGUAUCAGAAGUGCGAAUGCUGACAUAAGUAACGAUAAAGCGGGUGAAAAGCCCGCUCGCCGGAAGACCAAGGGUUCCUGUCCAACGUUAAUCGGGGCAGGGUGAGUCGACCCCUAAGGCGAGGCCGAAAGGCGUAGUCGAUGGGAAACAGGUUAAUAUUCCUGUACUUGGUGUUACUGCGAAGGGGGGACGGAGAAGGCUAUGUUGGCCGGGCGACGGUUGUCCCGGUUUAAGCGUGUAGGCUGGUUUUCCAGGCAAAUCCGGAAAAUCAAGGCUGAGGCGUGAUGACGAGGCACUACGGUGCUGAAGCAACAAAUGCCCUGCUUCCAGGAAAAGCCUCUAAGCAUCAGGUAACAUCAAAUCGUACCCCAAACCGACACAGGUGGUCAGGUAGAGAAUACCAAGGCGCUUGAGAGAACUCGGGUGAAGGAACUAGGCAAAAUGGUGCCGUAACUUCGGGAGAAGGCACGCUGAUAUGUAGGUGAAGUCCCUCGCGGAUGGAGCUGAAAUCAGUCGAAGAUACCAGCUGGCUGCAACUGUUUAUUAAAAACACAGCACUGUGCAAACACGAAAGUGGACGUAUACGGUGUGACGCCUGCCCGGUGCCGGA
rnacentral:rRNA from 1 species